rnacentral:rRNA from 1 species
UCCGGAGGAUGCAAGCGUUAUCCGGAAUGAUUGGGCGUAAAGCGUCCGCAGGUGGCAAUGUAAGUCUGCUGUUAAAGAGUCUAGCUCAACUAGAUAAAAGCAGUGGAAACUACAUAGCUAGAGUACGUUCGGGGCAGAGGGAAUUCCUGGUGUAGCGGUGAAAUGCGUAGAGAUCAGGAAGAACACCAGUGGCGAAGGCGCUCUGCUAGGCCGUAACUGACACUGAGGGACGAAAGCUAGGGGAGCGAAUGGG